UACGUAGGGAGCAAGCGUUGUUCGGAUUUACUGGGCGUAAAGGGCGCGUAGGCGGCGCGACAAGUCACUUGUGAAAUCUCCGGGCUUAACUCGGAACGGUCAAGUGAUACUGCUUUGCUAGAGUGCGGAAGGGGCAAUCGGAAUUCUCGGUGUAGCGGUGAAAUGCGUAGAUAUCGAGAGGAACACCUGAGGUGAAGACGGGUUGCUGGGCCGACACUGACGCUGACAGCGCGAAAGCCAGGGGAGCAAACGGG
rnacentral:rRNA from 1 species